GACAGAGGUGCCAAGCGUUAGGCGGAAUCACUGGGCUCAAAGCGUGUGUAGGCGGACUUGUAAGUACCUUGUGAAAUCCCACGGCUCAACCGUGGAACUGCUUGGUAUACUGCUUGUCUUGAGCCACUUAGGGGCUACCGGAACAAAUGGUGGAGCGGUGAAAUGCGUAGAUAUCAUUUGGAACGCCAAUGGUGAAAACAGGUAGCUGGGAGUGUGCUGACGCUGAGACACGAAAGCCAGGGGAGCGAACCGG
rnacentral:rRNA from 1 species